rnacentral:rRNA from 1 species
CGACGGGUGAGUAACACGUAUGCAAUCCACCUGUAACAGGGGAUAACCCGGAGAAAUCCGGACUAAUACCCCAUAUAUGGCGCUCCGCAUGGAGAGUCCAUUAAAGAGAGCAAUCUUGGUUACAGACGAGCAUGCGCUCCAUUAGCCAGUUGGCGGGGUAACGGCCCACCAAGGCGACGAUGGAUAGGGGUUCUGAGAGGAAGGUCCCCCACAUUGGAACUGAGACACGGUCCAA